rnacentral:snRNA from 1 species
GUGAUCACUUCCACAGCACAUAUACUAAAAUUGGAACGAUACAGAGAAGAUUAGCAUGGCUCCUGCGCAAGGAUGACAUGUAAAAUAAAAAAAUUUUU